AGAUUGAACGCUGGCGGCAGGCCUAACACAUGCAAGUCGAGCGGCAGCACGGGUACUUGUACCUGGUGGCGAGCGGCGGACGGGUGAGUAAUGCCUAGGAAUCUGCCUGAUAGUGGGGGAUAACGUUCGGAAACGGACGCUAAUACCGCAUACGUCCUACGGGAGAAAGUGGGGGAUCUUCGGACCUCACGCUAUCAGAUGAGCCUAGGUCGGAUUAGCUAGUUGGUAGGUAAGGCCUACAAGGCUACGAUCCGUAAUGGUCUGA
rnacentral:rRNA from 1 species